AAACAGGCUAGGCUUAUUUCUUAAUACCAUUAAAUAUUUAGCAUUUAGAAUUUGCUAUUGUCACACCACCUUUACUUUUUCUGUCUUCCCUGGUCUGUUUCUUAUUUCACAUGUCUUUGAUCUCCUCGCCUCUUCUGCUUGUCUUUUCCUCCUUCUCUGCUUAAUUCUUCUCUUUCCCUCCUUCUCAUUCCACCUCCCCCUCUCAUAUCCUUCCCUCUCUUUUCAUAUCCUCUUUAUAUUUCUUCCUUCUCCUCUCUCCCUCUUCUCCUCUGUCCUUUCUCAUCUUGAAUUUCCUUGAAUAAAGUUGGAUGGUAUAAAGAUAGUAUGGUUUUUUGGAUUAAUUUUUUUUUCUGGGUGACUCUAUCACUAACAAGAAUUGGGCUGGAGAGAUGGCUCAGUG
rnacentral:lncRNA from 1 species